AACACGGUCCGUUGGUGAACCAGCGGAGGGAUCAUUACAAGAAGCCGAAAGGGCUACUUCAAACCAUCGUGAACUUAUCCAAGUUGCUUCGGCGGCGCGGCUCCCCUCGCGGGGUGCCGCAGCCCCGCCCCCUCGGGGGUGGUGGGCGCCCGCCGGAGGUAUUAAACUCUCCCGUAUUAUAGUGGUAUUUCUGAGUAAAAACAAAUAAGUUAAAACUUUCAACAACGGAUCUCUUGGUUCUGGCAUCGAUGAAGAACGCAGCGAAAUGCGAUAAGUAAUGUGAAUUGCAGAAUUCAGUGAAUCAUCGAAUCUUUGAACGCACAUUGCGCCCGCUAGUAUUCUAGCGGGCAUGCCUGUUCGAGCGUCAUUUCAACCCUCAAGCCCUGCUUGGUGUUGGGGCCCUACGGCUGCCGUAGGCCCUGAAAAGAAGUGGCGGGCUCGCUGCAACUCCGAGCGUAGUAAUUCAUUAUCUCGCUAGGGAGGCGCGGCGGUGCUCCUGCCGUUAAAGACCAUCUUUAACCAAAGGUUGACCUCGGAUCAGGUAGGAAUACCCGCUGAACUUAAGCAUAUCAUAGGCCCGGAGGAAA
rnacentral:rRNA from 1 species